rfam:Candidatus Sodalis pierantonius str. SOPE, complete genome.
AGCCCCUGCAGGGUCGUACUCAACGGUUUGAUAUACAGUGAGUUAUCUUUCAGCGCCACAGUGCCGGAGGUGGUCACCGGCUGACCGUCAAGAGGGAUAUCCAAAUGCAGGUCGCCAUUCACCGGCCCGCCGACCUCCAGUUCAUCGAGCGUUUUGUCAAGCGACGCCUUGAGCGGCGUCUGGAGAAAAUAGUCGCGGAUGGCGCUGCCGGCGCCGCUGAUGCCUGCAUCAAUUAACAAUUUUUCUUUGGAAUAGUCAGGAAUACUGGCGGCGAUAUUGUGACCGCGAGCCUCGCCGAGCGCGGUUUGCGACGCAUGCAUAAACAGGCCGUCGUUGACGAAAUCCAGGUCGAUAUCCAACUGCGUCAGCGCCGGCCAGCCGGGUUCAAACUGAUAUUCCGCCUGCUUGAGCGGCACC